UGACAUGAAUCUAUACUCAAGAACUGAUUGCCCAUAGCCCCAUACUAUUGCGUAGAUGAAACCCUUCAAAAUUUACAUUGCCUAGGUGAUGCAUAUUCUGAAUUUUGUGUGGCAGCACAAUUUAAUUCAAGCAAUGGAAUCAGAAGAAUAAAAUGGCAUAAUUGCUCAUGUAAUCCCUUUUCUAUGUAGAAAGUUCUCCACAAUAUGAGUGUACAAACCACAUUCCUGAAUUCUAAAACAGUGCAUAUCAACAUAUUUACUGAUCCAAAAUUACUCUUCAAGUAUUAAACCAGAAAGAGUAAUACAGAUUCAUUACUUUACUGAAAGUAUAUAGGUCCAUAAGAUAAACCACACGCUGGAGCAAUAGUAUGAAGGUUAAUCAGGAAAACAUAAUCAGCCAUUAGCCUCAUUGCCUCUAACAUCGUCAAGGGGAACAAAACCACAACUGCAAUAAGAAAUGUUAAAUCACAUCAAAUUACUCAGGUGAGCAAUACCAUGCCAAACAUUUUGAUAAGAACAUGCUAAAUCUAAAGUAUGUAAGAGUAAAUCAGGUGAGCAAUACAUGGCGCACAUAACAUUAGUCUGGGCACAAGAUGACUAAAUCUGGAUCAGCAGUUUCAACAAACAAUAUGGUGCUCUUUAGUCUUUACAGCUGAAUAUGUAUUGACAUGUAUGCAAUGAUGUUUAUGGCUCAUGAUCUGAAGAUCCAAGUUAUUUUUUAAAAAUUCCAUUAGUCCAUGGCCCAAAAGCUGACUGUGCUCUUGGAAAAUAAUAAAUAGAGAUAUUCUAAACCAUAGGAUUGACAGUAUAUGAGAUACCUAAAGGUUUAAUUUAAAUUAUUUAUGUUCAUUCUGGAUCAUAUGAAAAGGUCAAAAUGGCUUAAGUGAAUUUUUAUUCUUCAAAUAUAUGAAAAGGUAUAUAUAAGCAUAAUUAUUGUGCACUGAAAAAUCUUAAAAUUUGACAACAGACACACACUGUAGGGGAAAAAAGAGAAAUUGGUUUAAACUUCUCUAUAGGGGAAGGGGCCCAGAGGAUGGCUGGCUUAAUGCUAUGAAUUGGGUUAUUUGUGGUAAAUGCCAGUACAAGUGCAAGCUACCUUUCAUGAGAUAUAAUCAACUGUUUAGCUUUUGCAUGGUUCGUCACCCAACUUGCUUUUGUGUUUCUCAUAACCCCUAGGAAGGAUGUUGGGAUAAUGUGAAAAGAAAUAAAUCCACAUUGUAAAAACCAGUAAAGCCAAUCAUAGCGUCUUCAGUGUCUCUGAAAAUAUCAACAAAAGCAUUAAAGCAUGCAGAUCCCCAGCUGACAGGUUAAAACAUAGUCACCAUGCAAACCAGGACAGGUUUAUAUGGACCAUUCGCAAGAAAGUCAGAGGAGCAUAUAUAUAUAGACAAGGUAGAGUAAACCUUAAUGAGUGAAGAUAUAUAGCCUAGCCAUGUGACGAUCCCUUUUUUCUUCAAAACCUCAGACUCUAAAAGUCCUACAGUAUUAGUCAAUCAAUUUACCAUACAAUAAUAAGGUACAAGAAGAAAU
rnacentral:lncRNA from 1 species